rnacentral:rRNA from 1 species
UACGGAGGGAGCUAGCGUUGUUCGGAAUUACUAGGGCGUAAAGCGCACGUAGGCGGCUUUGUAAGUUAGAGGUGAAAGCCCGGGGCUCAACCCUGGAAGUGCAUCCCGAACUGUGUCGCUUGAAUCUCGGAGGGGGACAGAGAAUUCCCGGUGUAGAGGUGGAAAUUCGUAGAUAUCGGGAGGAAUACCAGUGGCGAAGGCGACUGUCCUGGACGAAGGAUUGACGCUGAGGUGGCGAAAGCG